CACGUAGGAGUCAAGCGUUAUCCGAAUUCACUGGGCGUAAAGCGCGUGCAGGCGGCUCGGUAAGUUGGAUGUGAAAUCUCCUGGCUCAACUGGGAGAGGACGUUCAAUACUGUCGAGCUAGAGGGCGACAGAGGGAGGUGGAAUUCCCGGUGUAGUGGUGAAAUGCGUAGAUAUCGGGAGGAACACCAGUGGCGAAAGCGGCCUCCUGGGUCGCACCUGACGCUCAGACGCGAAAGCUAGGGGAGCGAAC
rnacentral:rRNA from 1 species